rnacentral:lncRNA from 1 species
AAAUACAUUUAUAAGCUUGUCGAAGAACACGAAAUCACCGAGUAAUUUGACCCAGAGAAUGAACACAGCCUAAAGUAGGAUAUGUAUAAUUAAAAGAAAGUAUGCACGUAGCUUUUCCCUUUUGCAAGCAUUCACAAUCUGCCAUCAGUCAUUUCACCUUGUUACAAUAUCUAUAUUUUCCUCCGUUACGGAUUAUCUGUAGGCUUGGAAGGACUUCGCCAUUGCAACGAGUUUGAAAAAAAAAACCAUCUAAGUAGAAAAUUUGAAUUG